AGCCUUAAGAUAAGUAAUUUAAGGUGUAACCUGCCCAGUGAUUUUUUUAAAUGGCCGCGGUACUUUGACCGUGCUAAGGUAGCAUAAUCACUUGACUUUUAAAUGGAGUCUGGAAUGAAUGGAAUAACGGAGUUUAGCUGUCUCUACUUUUUUAUUUUGAAUUUACUAAAUAGGUGAAAAGGCCUAUGAAUGAAAAAAGACGAGAAGACCCUUAGAGUUUUUAAAAAAAUUUUGUUGGGGCGACAUAGGAAUAUUAAUCUUCCUAAAAAAUAUAAGACGGUUUUCAUGAAUAGAUAAACUACCUGAGGGAUAACAGCAUAAUCUAUUUUUGGUUUGUGACCUCGAUGUUGGACUAGGAAUUUUUUAGGCAAGCCGCCUASAAAAAAGAUUCUGUUCGAAUUUUAUCUCCU
rnacentral:rRNA from 1 species